rnacentral:rRNA from 1 species
AAGUAGGGGAUCGUAAGACCUUGCGCUUUUGGAGUGGCCGAUGCCUGAUUAGCUAGUUGGUGGGGUAAGGGCCUACCAAGGCAACGAUCAGUAGUUGGUCUGAGAGGACGACCAGCCACACUGGGACUGAGACACGGCCCAGACUCCUACGGGAGGCAGCAGUGGGGAAUUUUGGACAAUGGGCGAAAGCCUGAUCCAGCAAUGCCGCGUGAGUGAAGAAGGCCUUCGGGUUGUAAAGCUCUUUCAGUCGAGAAGAAAAGGUUGUGACUAAUAAUCACAACUUAUGACGGUACCGACAGAAGAAGCACCGGCUAACUACGUGCCAGCAGCCGCGGUAAUACGUAGGGUGCGAGCGUUAAUCGGAAUUACUGGGCGUAAAGGGUGCGCAGGCGGCUUUGUAAGUCAGAUGUGAAAUCCCCGGGCUUAACCUGGGAAUUGCGUUUGAAACUACAAAGCUUAG